CGGAGGGUGCAAGCGUUAUCCGGAUUCACUGGGUUUAAAGGGAGCGCAGGCGGACCUGUAAGUCAGUGGUGAAAUACCUGAGCUUAACUCGGGAACUGCCAUUGAUACUAUCGGUCUUGAAUGUUGUUGAGGUUUGCGGAAUGGGUCAUGUAGCGGUGAAAUGCAUAGAUAUGACCCGGAACACCUAUUGCGAAGGCAGCAGGCUAAACAAAUAUUGACGCUGAGGCUCGAAAGCGUGGGGAUCAAACAGGAUUAGAUACCCUGGUAGUCCACGCCCUAAACUAUGAUUACUCGACAUACGCGAUACACUGUGUGUGUCUGAGCGAAAGCAUUAAGUAAUCCACCGGGGAAGUACGACCGCAAGGUUG
rnacentral:rRNA from 1 species